UUAAGCGACUAAGCGUACACGGUGGAUGCCCUGGCAGUCAGAGGCGAUGAAGGACGUGCUAAUCUGCGAUAAGCGUCGGUAAGGUGAUAUGAACCGUUAUAACCGGCGAUUUCCGAAUGGGGAAACCCAGUGUGUUUCGACACACUAUCAUUAACUGAAUCCAUAGGUUAAUGAGGCGAACCGGGGGAACUGAAACAUCUAAGUACCCCGAGGAAAAGAAAUCAACCGAGAUUCCCCCAGUAGCGGCGAGCGAACGGGGAGCAGCCCAGAGCCUGAAUCAGUGUGUGUGUUAGUGGAAGCGUCUGGAAAGGCGCGCGAUACAGGGUGACAGCCCCGUACACAAAAAUGCACAUGCUGUGAGCUCGAUGAGUAGGGCGGGACACGUGGUAUCCUGUCUGAAUAUGGGGGGACCAUCCUCCAAGGCUAAAUACUCCUGACUGACCGAUAGUGAACCAGUACCGUGAGGGAAAGGCGAAAAGAACCCCGGCGAGGGGAGUGAAAAAGAACCUGAAACCGUGUACGUACAAGCAGUGGGAGCACGCUUAGGCGUGUGACUGCGUACCUUUUGUAUAAUGGGUCAGCGACUUAUAUUCUGUAGCAAGGUUAACCGAAUAGGGGAGCCGAAGGGAAACCGAGUCUUAACUGGGCGUUAAGUUGCAGGGUAUAGACCCGAAACCCGGUGAUCUAGCCAUGGGCAGGUUGAAGGUUGGGUAACACUAACUGGAGGACCGAACCGACUAAUGUUGAAAAAUUAGCGGAUGACUUGUGGCUGGGGGUGAAAGGCCAAUCAAACCGGGAGAUAGCUGGUUCUCCCCGAAAGCUAUUUAGGUAGCGCCUCGUGAAUUCAUCUCCGGGGGUAGAGCACUGUUUCGGCAAGGGGGUCAUCCCGACUUACCAACCCGAUGCAAACUGCGAAUACCGGAGAAUGUUAUCACGGGAGACACACGGCGGGUGCUAACGUCCGUCGUGAAGAGGGAAACAACCCAGACCGCCAGCUAAGGUCCCAAAGUCAUGGUUAAGUGGGAAACGAUGUGGGAAGGCCCAGACAGCCAGGAUGUUGGCUUAGAAGCAGCCAUCAUUUAAAGAAAGCGUAAUAGCUCACUGGUCGAGUCGGCCUGCGCGGAAGAUGUAACGGGGCUAAACCAUGCACCGAAGCUGCGGCAGCGACGCUUAUGCGUUGUUGGGUAGGGGAGCGUUCUGUAAGCCUGCGAAGGUGUGCUGUGAGGCAUGCUGGAGGUAUCAGAAGUGCGAAUGCUGACAUAAGUAACGAUAAAGCGGGUGAAAAGCCCGCUCGCCGGAAGACCAAGGGUUCCUGUCCAACGUUAAUCGGGGCAGGGUGAGUCGACCCCUAAGGCGAGGCCGAAAGGCGUAGUCGAUGGGAAACAGGUUAAUAUUCCUGUACUUGGUGUUACUGCGAAGGGGGGACGGAGAAGGCUAUGUUGGCCGGGCGACGGUUGUCCCGGUUUAAGCGUGUAGGCUGGUUUUCCAGGCAAAUCCGGAAAAUCAAGGCUGAGGCGUGAUGACGAGGCACUACGGUGCUGAAGCAACAAAUGCCCUGCUUCCAGGAAAAGCCUCUAAGCAUCAGGUAACAUCAAAUCGUACCCCAAACCGACACAGGUGGUCAGGUAGAGAAUACCAAGGCGCUUGAGAGAACUCGGGUGAAGGAACUAGGCAAAAUGGUGCCGUAACUUCGGGAGAAGGCACGCUGAUAUGUAGGUGAAGCGACUUGCUCGUGGAGCUGAAAUCAGUCGAAGAUACCAGCUGGCUGCAACUGUUUAUUAAAAACACAGCACUGUGCAAACACGAAAGUGGACGUAUACGGUGUGACGCCUGCCCGGUGCCGGAAGGUUAAUUGAUGGGGUUAGCGCAAGCGAAGCUCUUGAUCGAAGCCCCGGUAAACGGCGGCCGUAACAAUAACGGUCCUAAGGUAGCGAAAUUCCUUGUCGGGUAAGUUCCGACCUUGCACGAAUGGCGUAACGAUCUCCCCACUGUCUCCAACGCAGACUCAGCGAAAUUGAAUUCCCCGUGAAGAUGCGGGGUUCCCGCGGUCAGACGGAAAGACCCCGUGCACCUUUACUAUAGCUUCGCAGUGGUAUCAGGAUGCAAAUGUGUAGGAUAGGUGGGAGUCUAUGAAGUCGGGACGUCAGUUCCGGUGGAGACAUCCUUGAAAUACCACCCUUUUGUAUUCUGUUAUCUAACCGUGGUCCGUUAUCCGGAUCCGGGACCCUGCGUGGUGGGUAGUUUGACUGGGGCGGUCUCCUCCUAAAGAGUAACGGAGGAGCACGAAGGUUGGCUAAUCCUGGUCGGACAUCAGGAGGUUAGUGCAAUGGCAUAAGCCAGCUUGACUGCGAGCGUGACGGCGCGAGCAGGUGCGAAAGCAGGUCAUAGUGAUCCGGUGGUUCUGAAUGGAAGGGCCAUCGCUCAACGGAUAAAAGGUACGCCGGGGAUAACAGGCUGAUACCCCCCAAGAGUUCACAUCGACGGGGGUGUUUGGCACCUCGAUGUCGGCUCAUCACAUCCUGGGGCUGAAGUAGGUCCCAAGGGUAUGGCUGUUCGCCAUUUAAAGUGGUACGCGAGCUGGGUUUAGAACGUCGUGAGACAGUUCGGUCCCUAUCUGCCGUGGGCGCUGGAGAACUGAGGGGGGCUGCUCCUAGUACGAGAGGACCGGAGUGGACGCAUCACUGGUGUUCGGGUUGUCAUGCCAAUGGCACUGCCCGGUAGCUAAAUGCGGAAGAGAUAAGUGCUGAAAGCAUCUAAGCACGAAACUUGCCCCGAGAUGAGUUCUCCCUGACUCCUUGAGAGUCCUGAAGGAACGUUGAAGACGACGACGUUGAUAGGCCGGGUGUGUAAGCGCAGCGAUGCGUUGAGCUAACCGGUACUAAUGAACCGUGAGGCUUAACCUU
rnacentral:rRNA from 1 species